CGAGAGUCGCUCAAGACCGGGGCGAUCCCAACAAAGCGAGGGCCUCGGGAAGGGGCGGCCGCGAGCCGAGCACACACGGCUCCAGGCCGGACAGACGCGGCCCCAUCGCCCACUGGGGCGGCGCCCCCUCUCAGGGACCUGCCUAGCCUUAGGUCCCCCUUUCUGCAGGCGGGUCUCGCAGUUGCCGCGCUCCCCACCUUGCCGGCGCCCGCCCGAGCCAGGCCGAUCUCCACGCACUGAGCAUCCAGAAUCGCGCGGUGUACCGACGGAGCGGACAUGGGCAGAGCGAUGGUAGCCAGGCUGGGACUGGGGCUGCUGCUGCUGGCCCUGCUGACCACGCAGGUAUACUCCAACCAAACAACUUUUGAAUCAUCUUCAUCUCAGAAUAACUCUUCUGCCCCAAAUCCAAAUAAUGGCACCGGAGCAGGCGGCAAUGAUCUGCAGUCAACAGCUACUCUCUUGCUGGUGGCACUUUCUCUUCUACAUCUCUACUGAUAGAGACUCUGGCCAAGCAACAUCUCUACUUCCCUAUCUUCUAGACCCACUCCAAAUGGCAACUACAAAUCCAAUGUGGCAAGGAAGAAACUGGUCUGCAUCAACUCUGCUAUGACCACACUGUAUUGUAUUGAAACAGAAAAGGCUGAGAAUUCCAAAUUCAAUUGGUUUGAAGGACACAUGAAGGGUUUGACAGAUGAUGAAUGCCAGUAUUAAAUCUGCUGGAGUUUUGUGUACAAGAUGAAGAUAGGUAACAUGCAAAAUUAACAUGAUGUCCUUGAAUGUGGCUUAAGAAAUCUGGACACUUAAAACUCUGUCUUGAAAUCAGGCAUAGGUUUUAUCUAGGGAUAGGGAUGGGAUUUGUAAUGGAGAUUCAAUUUUCAUUUGCUUUGUUCAACCUAUAAGGACAUGAAACAGGUAAUAUUCCAAAAGCUUCCAUGAUCCUAUUUAUAUAUACAUUUGAUGGAGCUACCAGAUGAUACUAUAAGUCCUCCGUAUUGUUUGAGCAUUACUAAUUUAACAUGGAAAACUCUAGAUAAAACUUCACACUGUUAAGCUGUCACUGUUCUGUCUGGAAUUGAGUUUUUUUUUUUUAACCUCCUGCCCCUGCCCCUCUGCAGCUUUAGGCUUGACAUUAUAUUUGACCGUUAUGUAGGAAUUGACAUGUGCCAGGAGGUGAUGGAUUGGAACCCACCCCCAAAUCCAGCCAUCAUCAAUAGCUCUUGCUUUACAAAAUCAAAUGGUGGCUGUUUUCCGUCACCUGCUUUCAGUCAACGAGAGUGCCAGAUUCUUUUAGCCAGGCUGGCUCCACAGAGUAGAACUGCGUUGACCUGGACUAAUCUCAAAGUACAGCUUCUUUCCCACGUAUGUUCAGUGCUUAAAAUACGUUCUGUUAUGAAAGUAAAAUUACAAAUCUUGAAAUUAGAAAGGCGAUAUGGGAAGGAGCCCAAACUGUAAAUCAAGCCUUUAGGAUGUGAAGACUGGAGGCAACUUGAACUAAAUUCACACAAUCUUUUAUACUCUUCCUGUGAAUACUUUUUUUAAAAAGAAAAAGCAACAGAUCCGAAUAGCCACAUUUAGAGUACUUUUAAUUAUCAGUUCAUAUUUUUAGAUAGUUUGCCGUUGGUCCUUAGCUUGAGAGUGGGUUUCAUUCCACAGUAUUUUUUUUCAGCUGCCUUGAUACACAGAAACCUUUGAAAAUAGACAUUCCCUGAAAAAAAUGAUUUGUUUGCAUGGUCACACACUGAUGCUUAUAUGUACUGGGAUCUAAUAUGGCCACAGUAGUGUUGAUAGCCAGAGUAAUUUUUUCCAUCUUUAGACCUACAGAGGAACAGCAGAUCUCAAAGAUCCAAAGCUGCUGUGUGUGUGAAUGAACGUUUCCUCCUGCUUCAUCCCCGAAUGCUGUACCUCUAUUUGACUGUAUAUUGUGUUUGUGUAUUUAUGCUUUGAUUCAUAGUAACUUCUCAUGUUAUGGAAUUGAUUUGCAUUGAACACAAACUGUAAAUAAAAGAAAUAAAUGGCUGAAAGAGCGAUCUUGAA